GCGCCGCCUCGGCCGUCAGUCGGUCCAUGGGGUUGAAGGUUAGGAUUUGCUCCAGGAAGUCCACAGCUGAGAGAAAAGCGUGACAAAUAUCAAGCAGCAGCACGGAAAACGGCUUCCUGACUUUCCAGCCAUGAUUAAUACAUGAAGGCAUCACCUGGACAGGCAAACGGGACAACAUUUACAAUAAGCAGGUCCUGUCUGUCCUCGUCUCUGAUUACCGGCACGGUGUCAAGAAUCAGCUGCAUCUGUUCCAGUGCAUGAGCUCCUGUGAAUGAAACAGUCACACUAAUCAAAGCACUGCAAAGGCCGGUAGAGGUCAAAUAAACUGCGAGAGGAGGAGCAACAUGCAGACUUAGUCUGGAAUCAUUGGCAUUCUGCUCACACAAUCGUGGAGACUGCAGAGAGACUCAACAGAUGCCACUUUGUGUAAUGUCAUGUUGAAUUACGGAAGUGUGAUUCAUCAUAAAGGGAAAACUGCUUUUUAAAAUUCUACUUCCAAUAUUCCGAAUUGAAAGAGCCUGAAUAAAAUUCAGUUAAGUUGUAAAAAAGGCUGCAUGAUAGACAAGCGGUUAGCACGUAUGCAUUGCAGUUCUGCA